rnacentral:rRNA from 1 species
UACAGAGGUCUCAAGCGUUGUUCGGAUUCAUUGGGCGUAAAGGGUGCGUAGGCGGCGCGGUAAGUCGGGUGUGAAAGCCCUCGGCUCAACCGAGGAAUUGCGCCCAAAACUACCGUGCUUGAGGAAGAUAGAGGUGAGCGGAACUCAGGGUGGAGCGGUGAAAUGCGUUGAUAUCCUGAGGAACACCGGUGGCGAAAGCGGCUCACUGGAUCUUUUCUGACGCUGAGGCACGAAAGCUAGGGUAGCGAACGGG